UACGUAGGGGGCAAGCGUUGUCCGGAAUCAUUGGGCGUAAAGCGCGUGUAGGCGGCCCGAUAAGUCCGCUGUGAAAGUCCAGGGCUCAACCCUGGGAUGCCGGUGGAUACUGUCGGGCUCGAGUCCGGAAGAGGCGAGUGGAAUUCCCGGUGUAGCGGUGAAAUGCGCAGAUAUCAGGAGGAACACCAAUGGCGAAGGCAGCUCGCUGGGACGUGACUGACGCUGAGACGCGAAAGCGUGGGGGAGCAAACAGG
rnacentral:rRNA from 1 species